rnacentral:rRNA from 1 species
UACGUAGGGGGCAAGCGUUGUCCGGAUUUAUUGGGCGUAAAGAGCGUGUAGGCGGCCUGACAGGUCUGCUGUGAAAACUCGAGGCUCAACCUCGAGAUGUCGGCGGAAACCGUCUGGCUAGAGUCCGGAAGAGGAGAGUGGAAUUCCUGGUGUAGCGGUGAAAUGCGCAGAUAUCAGGAAGAACACCUAUGGCGAAGGCAGCUCUCUGGGACGGUACUGACGCUGAGACGCGAAAGCGUGGGGAGUGAACAGG